CCUGCCCAUCAGAAGGGGAUAACACUUGGAAACAGGUGCUAAUACCGUAUAACAAUCGAAACCGCAUGGUUUUGAUUUGAAAGGCGCUUUCGGGUGUCGCUGAUGGAUGGACCCGCGGUGCAUUAGCUAGUUGGUGAGGUAACGGCUCACCAAGGCCACGAUGCAUAGCCGACCUGAGAGGGUGAUCGGCCACAUUGGGACUGAGACACGGCCCAAACUCCUACGGGAGGCAGCAGUAGGGAAUCUUCGGCAAUGGACGAAAGUCUGACCGAGCAACGCCGCGUGAGUGAAGAAGGUUUUCGGAUCGUAAAACUCUGUUGUUAGAGAAGAACAAGGAUGAGAGUAACUGUUCAUCCCUUGACGGUAUCUAACCAGAAAGCCACGGCUAACUACGUGCCAGCAGCCGCGGUAAUACGUAGGUGGCAAGCGUUGUCCGGAUUUAUUGGGCGUAAAGCGAGCGCAGGCGGUUUCUUAAGUCUGAUGUGAAAGCCCCCGGCUCAACCGGGGAGGGUCAUUGGAAACUGGGAGACUUGAGUGCAGAAGAGGAGAGUGGAAUUCCAUGUGUAGCGGUGAAAUGCGUAGAUAUAUGGAGGAACACCAGUGGCGAAGGCGGCUCUCUGGUCUGUAACUGACGCUGAGGCUCGAAAGCGUGGGGAGCAAACAGGAUUAGAUACCCUGGUAGUCCACGCCGUAAACGAUGAGUGCUAAGUGUUGGAGGGUUUCCGCCCUUCAGUGCUGCAGCUAACGCAUUAAGCACUCCGCCUGGGGAGUACGACCGCAAGGUUGAAACUCAAAGGAAUUGACGGGGGCCCGCACAAGCGGUGGAGCAUGUGGUUUAAUUCGAAGCAACGCGAAGAACCUUACCAGGUCUUGACAUCCUUUGACCACUCUAGAGAUAGAGCUUCCCCUUCGGGGGCAAAGUGACAGGUGGUGCAUGGUUGUCGUCAGCUCGUGUCGUGAGAUGUUGGGUUAAGUCCCGCAACGAGCGCAACCCUUAUUGUUAGUUGCCAUCAUUCAGUUGGGCACUCUAGCAAGACUGCCGGUGACAAACCGGAGGAAGGUGGGGAUGACGUCAAAUCAUCAUGCCCCUUAUGACCUGGGCUACACACGUGCUACAAUGGGAAGUACAACGAGUUGCGAAGUCGCGAGGCUAAGCUAAUCUCUUAAAGCUUCUCUCAG
rnacentral:rRNA from 1 species